AACCACAUCAUGCUUAUACAGUGGUUCCUGUAUGAUCACUGAAGUUAAGCAGUGUCAGGCCUGGUUAGUACCUAAACAGGUGACCACUUAAGAAUACCAGGUGCUGUAA